AGCAUCACUUCCAAGAACAAAGUAACAUCAGAGACACCAAGGGUAUGCCUACAGUGCAGCUGCUGCAGGGGUACAGCUAGGGUGCUGUAGCUGUGUCACUGUGAUAUAGACACUUCCAACAUUGAUGGAAAGGAUUUUACAUUGACCUAGCUGUGUCUACAAUGAGGGGUUGGAGAUAGAAGAUGGCAGAGGUUGAAAGCACAGUUAUAAACACCAGUGUGAAACAGAAAGACCCAAAUGAGGCGCUGGUCAUCGCUGUGACAACCAGGGCCAUCUUCAACCUGGAGGAGGAGCAUCAGCUGUUCCUGACAAAGGGCAAGGAAGAGUAUGUGAAGUAUCAGCAAGUCAAUGAGGAUAAGCCCUUGGAGCAAGGUACAGCCUUCGCUUUCAUUCAGGCCAUGCAGUUUGUGAAUGAGAAACUCCUGGAGAGAAACCCAGAGGAGAAGGGCCUCUUUGAUGUCAUCAUCCUCUCCAACAACAGCCCAGAGAGUGGCAUGCGCAUCAUCAACAGUGCUAAGCAACAUGGUUUGGAGAUUUCCAAGUUUUGCUUUGUCAGUGAUGAAGAUUCCACCCAAUACUUGAAAUCCCAUAAUGUCAAGCUCUUCCUCUCGGCCGACAGGACGGACGUGUGCAAUGCACUGCAACGAGGAGUGUCAGCGGCUCUCAUCUUCCAGCAGGAGGUGCAGGCCCCCUGCACCCAACUGCGAGUGGUGUUUGACGGGGAUGCCGUGCUCUUCUCGGAUGAGACAGACCGGGUUUUUCGAGAGAAGGGGCUGUCGGGGGCUCUGGAGUAUGAGAGGGCAAUGGAAGCCAUGCCCAUGGGAGAGGGUCCACUGAAGGCAUUUGCCAUGCAUCUUGGGAAAAUGCGUAAGAAGUUCAGCCAGGAGAAUUCCCCUAUUCGCAUCUACUUGGUGACUGCCCGCAGCGGCCGUGAUAUGGGCCUCCGUGCUAUCAAGACCCUCCGGGAAUGGGGGCUGGCGAUUGACGAAGCCUUCUUCAUGGAUGGGGCUCCCAAGGGCCCUCUCCUCUCCCAGAUCCAACCCCACAUCUUCUUUGACGAUGGCCUUCAUAACAUCCAGGGGGCUCAGGAUAUUGGCAUACCUUCUGCCUUGGUCCCCUGUAACUGCUGAUGGGCAGGGAUGAAAGGGCAAAGGUCAUCCAAGGAUCAGGCCUCCCAAAAUGCAAUGGGAGAACACCAGGACAAAGCUUCUGCCAGAGGGGAUAAGGGAGGAUUUCUAAACCUGUGCUAAGCAAGCUUGAGGCAGAGGGAGAGAAGAUGCUGUGUGCUGAUGUGGUGCUGGAUCUGUUGCUCUUGGGUCCCUCUCUUAGUUCCAAAGACAAGGUCCAUCUGACUUGGGGAUGUGGCAACAGAAGCCAAAAAUCCAUAGGAAGGACGCUUGAAAAGUAACCAUUACGCCCAUCUCUUGAUCUGCCUUAGCCAUCUCUUCAAUGACUGCAACCCUUCCAGCCACUAGGGCUAAUGUGCUCCACUACUCAUGUCAUACGAGCACUGAAACCACAGCUCUAGCGAUGAGACCAUGUGAGCUGAAGACAGCAUGUCACUGUCGUAAGAGGCAGGCAGUGUAAGCUCGGGCUGCACUCAGACAUGGGGGUUGGUCUUUGGUGCUUUGGGCCAGUACUGCUAUUCAAAUGCCAAGAUGCCCUCUAAACGCUGUAUUUGUUGGGGAUUGUGCUUUUUCAAAGGAAACUAUUUUUUUUAGUGUGUAUGUUUUAUAUAAUAUGGGGCCAAAUCCUGAGAGGUGCUGAGCAGCUAGUGAGCACUUGCAUCUUCCGCUGACUUCAGCAAGAGUUCCAGAUGCUCAGCACCUCCCAGGAUUUGAGUGCCAGGGACCAGGAAAUCUGUCUUCUCAUAGUUUCUAGUUUGUAGGUAUACCUUACAUUGGGCCUGAUUCUGAUCUCCCAUUUGGUAUAAAUCAGGAGUAACUCCACAAAAUCAGUGGAAUUAUACCAGAGUAAGUGAAAUCAGAAUCCAGUCCAUAAUAUCUAGUAGUUAAUUUAAUGUCAACCUCUCUCUCUCUUCUACAUCUCUUUUCUGCUCAGUUCUCUCUUUUCCUGCCAGCCACACAGCCUCUCUGCCGCUCUCUCCUCUAAAUGGCACAGAAAGAUCAAGUCACUGUCAAUUUAUAAUGCACAACACUGCAAAGCUGCUUUUCUUGCAGUAUCUCAAGUAUGUUUGUGCUGAGAAUAGGGUAAGAAUGGCAAGCCCCACAGUAUAUCUGGUCAUUCACACUUAGGAUCCAAGACAAAUCAUUUCAGUGUUAUUUUCCUGUAAUAAUUUUUUUAAAGAACUAAGUCUGGGUUGGUUACAUCUGCACACAAAUAUGAUGCAAAGCCCUCGUAUAGACGUAAUAUAAUAGGAUACUAGGGUUAUAUCCUCUGUGUGUGUGUGUUUGUAUGUGUGUGUAUGUUUAUUUACAUAGAUAUAGAUAGAUAUAAAUUAUGGGUCAGUUUCUCAGUUGGUGUAAAUCUGUGGUAGCUCCUUUGACUCAAGGAGCUAUGCCAACUUAUCUGAGAAUCUGAUCAGUUCCCGUGUGCUCUUGCCAGCAGCAGCGCUUCUAUUUUAGUGCUUGAAUCUCAGCAAACUAUUCAAAAGGGGUAGGAAGAUUCAAAAAUAACAGCAGAGUAUUGGGGUAGGAGAGGGCUUAGCUGAGUGCCUUAUUGUAAGCACGCUGCGUUACACAUUCCUUGUUUCUUCUGGAAUAAGUGGCCAUUAGCUUUUGUUCUUGCUGGCUGUAACAGGGGCAGCUGAUUACACUGGGGCAUUGUUCUUGCUGGCGCUGGUGCAUCUGAAGCCUGUUCUGAGUGGUUUUGGAUAUUUUGGGUUGUUUACUGGGCACGAAGCAGUAGGAUGGAGCCUAAUUUAUAUUUACUAACCUGCAGUUUCUUUCCAAGUGCUGAACUUCAGCCAUUUGUGUAUGCACACAUUCACCACCAGUGGCCACUAUGCUGCUCCUUACUGAAACAGGCAUGGUGGCCAAUUGAUCCCAUUGCUGCUGUGGCAUGCGGCCAGCUCACAAAAUCAGGGCAAACGGAACUUAGAUUUUUGCUUCAAGGGGGCUUUUACAAGCAGUGGGUGAAAAACAAUGUUUAAUUGACAAAAUACGAGAAAAAUAUCAUACUGCCUCUAUAUAAAUCCACAGUACGCCGACAUAUUGAAUAGUGCAUGCAGAUUUGGUCACUACAUCUCAAAAAAGAUACAUUGGAUUUGGAAAAGGUACAGAAAAGGGCAACAGAAAUAAUUAAGGGUAUGAACACCUUCUGUCUGAGGAGAGAUUGAAAAGACUGGGAUUUUUCAGCUUGGAAAAGAGAUGACUAAAGGGGCAUAUGAAAGAAGUCUAUAAAAUCAUGAAUGGUGUGGAAAAAUUGAAUAAGGAAGUGUUAUUUACUCC